rnacentral:rRNA from 1 species
GAUGAACGCUGGCGGCGUGCCUAAUACAUGCAAGUCGAGCGAACGGACGAGAGGCUUGCUUCUCUGAUGUUAGCGGCGGACGGGUGAGUAACACGUGGAUAACCUACCUAUAAGACUGGGAUAACUUCGGGAAACCGGAGCUAAUACCGGAUAAUAUUUUGAACCGCAUGGUUCAAAAGUGAAAGACGGUCUUGCUGUCACUUAUAGAUGGAUCCGCGCUGCAUUAGCUAGUUGGUAAGGUAACGGCUUACCAAGGCAACGAUGCAUAGCCGACCUGAGAGGGUGAUCGGCCACACUGGAACUGAGACACGGUCCAGACUCCUACGGGAGGCAGCAGUAGGGAAUCUUCCGCAAUGGGCGAAAGCCUGACGGAGUAACGCCGCGUGAGUGAUGAAGGUCUUCGGAUCGUAAAACUCUGUUAUUAGGGAAGAACAUAUGUGUAAGUAACUGUGCACAUCUUGACGGUACCUAAUCAGAAAGCCACGGCUAACUACGUG